rnacentral:lncRNA from 1 species
UUUUGGGGAUGAGAGAAGAGAUUUGCUUAUGAAAAAAUGGAUAAUGAAAUUUUCGAUUUUGAACAAAAAAUCAAAUAUAUUUUUGUUGCUUCUAAAUUUAUUUGUUCAUUGAUGGAAAAAUCAAAUAUAUUUUUGGUGCUUAUAAAUAUAUUUUGUACUAAUUACUCUUGGCCUUCACUGAUUUCGUAUGCAAUAGCUAGCAGUAAAAGGACAUAAAUUUUCUUUUGAGAAUUAUAUUUAGGCAUGAUUACUUAAAUAUAAUUUUUCCCCUUCAAAUUCAAUUAAUAAACAAAUUCAAAAUAAAUGGCUAUUUGAUGCAGAAGGAAAGAGUGAGGAGAUUUGUUGAAGAUUUGGAACAAUGGAUGUCAUUGUAGAGAAAUUCAGAUCUUGAUAAUUUAAGUCUAUAAAUUUUGAAACAAUUACUGAUUUUAGUGAAGAAGAAGAAAGAAAAAAUUGAGUGUGUUUUUUCAAAAAAAAUAAAUAAUGAGUUUGAUAUGUUGUGGGUCCAUUUGAUUUUUUAUCAACGGCAAAUAAAUAAACUAUAAUUCCUCCGGUUCUAUAUAUAAGAAAUAUUUUACGUUUUAGAUUCAUUGUAAAAUUGAUGUAUCUAGACAAUAAUAUAGUCUAAAUACAUCAAUUCUACAAUGAAUCUAAAAAGUCAACUUUUUCUUAUAUAUGGGACGGGAGAGAGUAUUAUAUAAAUAUAAAAACGAAAAAAAGUACGAGAGAAACUUUAGGAAAAUAAAAAGCAUCAGAAGUAGUCUCUCCAAGAAUCCAACUAUCUCUAAGGUAAAAUUGAAGGAAAAUAAGGAGGCACACCACCAACAAACUAGUACCCCUCAAUUGUACCACCACGGAAAGAAGAAAACUCCUCAAAAAGAGAGAAACAAGAAUCAACCAUAAAUAGGACAAAGCAACAAAAGGACAUUGAAUCUCAUGAAAUGUUGAGGGUCCAUGAUAAUAUCUUGUGGGAUAGUUUGAUUUAACAAUUAAAUAAGUGGUGCACAUACAAGACACGAGAAUGUCUUUCAUGUUAGGAUAAGCAUUUUAGUAUAAGUGGGAGAGUAGGAAAGAAAAUGCGAUAUUCUUGAAUUGAUAUUAAGGGAGAAUCAUACAAAUAUUCUUUGAAACUUUAUUUUAUUUAUUAUUUCUAUAGAAUCAUAUUAUAUUAUAUAGUAUAUAACCACACGGUAAAAAAAAAAGUCCGUGAAAUAUUUAAAGGUAAAAAAAAAUAUAUUAUUGAGUGGCAUCACAAUAACUCAUUGAAUAUUAUAGUAGUGUGUUUGUUUAUUCUCACAAACUUACCACUCAUAAUAUAUGGAGCUUGAUAAUUAACGACAUACACAUAAAUUUCUACGACACCUCGCUUUAGUAGGAUAUAUGCAAUUAAUUACUGGUUUACAAUCACCAUCAUAAACACAUUCAGGUCCCACUAUAAUGUAAAAAGAGAGAGAAAAGGAUUAAUUUUACUACAUGAGAUAAAAUACUGUAUACAAGUAAAGACUGAAAUUUGCAAGGGAAAUGAAAAUGCUUACAUGAUUUAAUACUUGUUGCAACAAGAAAUAGGGGAAGAAGAAUAAUCAUAACAAAAGUAAAUUUGACAAUUUUAGUCAUAUUUUCCAACGUUUACAUGUAUUAAAUAGAAUAUAUAAUUUUAUCACUUUUAAUUUAUAAGACUUAUAUGUUCUCA